rnacentral:rRNA from 1 species
GGGUUGUGAGGUUAAGCGAAUAAGCGUACACGGUGGAUGCCUAGGCAAUCAGAGGCGAUGAAGGACGUGCUAAUCUGCGAAAAGCGUCGGUAAGGUGAUAUGAACCGUUAUACCCGACGAUAUCCGAAUGGGGAAACCCAGUAUCCAAUGGAUACUAUCAUUAACUGAAUUCAUAGGUUAAUGAGGCGAACCGGGAGAACUGAAACAUCUCAGUACCCCGAGGAAAAGAAAUCAACCGAGAUUCCCCUAGUAGCGGCGAGCGAACGGGGAGCAGCCCAGAGUCUUAAUCAAUAACAGUGUCAGGAGAACGGUCUGGAAAGUCCGGCAGUAAAGGGUGAUAGCCCCGUAUCUGAAGAUGCUGUUAUUGUGAACUCGACGAGUAGGGCGGGACACGUGUUAUCCUGUCUGAAUAUGGGGGGACCAUCCUCCAAGGCUAAAUACUCCUGAUUGACCGAUAGUGAACCAGUACCGUGAGGGAAAGGCGAAAAGAACCCCGGCGAGGGGAGUGAAAAAGAACCUGAAACCGUGUACGUACAAGCAGUAGGAGCCUCUUUAUGGGGUGACUGCGUACCUUUUGUAUAAUGGGUCAGCGACUUAUAUUCUGUAGCAAGGUUAACCGUAUAGGGGAGCCGUAGGGAAACCGAGUCUUAACUGGGCGAAUGAGUUGCAGGGUAUAGACCCGAAACCCGGUGAUCUAUCCAUGGGCAGGUUGAAGGUUGGGUAACACUAACUGGAGGACCGAACCGACUAAUGUUGAAAAAUUAGCGGAUGACUUGUGGAUGGGGGUGAAAGGCCAAUCAAACCGGGAGAUAGCUGGUUCUCCCCGAAAGCUAUUUAGGUAGCGCCUCGUGAACUCAUCUUCGGGGGUAGAGCACUGUUUCGACUAGGGGGUCAUCCCGACUUACCAACUCGAUGCAAACUGCGAAUACCGAAGAAUGUUAUCACGGGAGACACACGGCGGGUGCUAACGUCCGUCGUGAAGAGGGAAACAACCCAGACCGCCAGCUAAGGUCCCAAAGUCAUGGUUAAGUGGGAAACGAAGUGGGAAGGCUCAGACAGCCAGGAUGUUGGCUUAGAAGCAGCCAUCAUUUAAAGAAAGCGUAAUAGCUCACUGGUCGAGUCGGCCCGCGCGGAAGAUGUAACGGGGCUAAACCAUGCACCGAAGCUGCGGCAGCGA